UACGAAGGGGGGCUAGCGUUGCUCGGAAUGACUGGGCGUAAAGGGCGCGUAGGCGGCUCAUACAGUCAGAUGUGAAAUUCCUGGGCUUAACCUGGGGGCUGCAUUUGAUACGUGUGGGCUUGAGUGGGGAAGAGGGUCGUGGAAUUCCCAGUGUAGAGGUGAAAUUCGUAGAUAUUGGGAAGAACACCGGUGGCGAAGGCGGCGACCUGGUCCUUGACUGACGCUGAGGCACGAAAGCGUGGGGAGCAAACAGG
rnacentral:rRNA from 1 species